rnacentral:guide_RNA from 1 species
GAAACACCACCUAUAACAUAGACAAUAAGGUAAGGUUGG